rnacentral:lncRNA from 1 species
CUGCUUCAUCCUGUCACUGUAUGUGUUCUUCUACUUAGGGACAGUCCUCUUCAUCAUAAUGCUAUACCCCCUCCUUCUUGCAUACACAAUAUGCAUAUACUAUGCAUACAAAAGAUAAAAGACCUAAAAAUUAUAGCAAACCAUUUUUUUUGCUCUUGAGUUUUUGAACCUCUUAACUUUGAAAUCACUUAAUUUUUUAGAAGUAAGAUAUUAUAAUGGCUUUAAUCCAUGGCAUCCUUUUAAUGAUGGCCUGAGAAUGGUAUAUCUUAACACUGACAAAGACAGGAGAGAUUAUUUAAUAUAUAAGUUGCUUGGAAUGACUUCAUUGCAGCUUAUGGGGGUAGGUUGAUGCCAUAGUAGUUUCAUGAGUCUUUCCGUCUUAAAUAGCCAUCGUUUGCAAGCUACAUUAGGUCAUAUUUCGCAGCCUCUUAAGAUAGAGUAAUGGCUGUAUUUCCCUAAUUCACAGAAAACACAUUACUAUCUGGAUGUUUCUCACUUUUAUUUUUUUCUCAUGAAUGUUCCUUGAAUGUUGGCACCUUCUACUGCUGAACUAAUAGAUAAAAAUCUAGUCUAAGGUGGUGUCUCACUUUAAUGCAAUUAACUAUUUUAACCAUGGUUAUUUCAAUAUACAGUUCUCAAGGUAUCCUCAUAGACUGUACUGUCACCUCUAGGUAAUCUGCUACCUGGACAAAUUUAAGAGCCCCUGUUCUGUGUGGGAAGUAGUAUCCCAUCCCAGUUGAAGCUCUGGCAUGAGAGCAGAUUUUGUGUGGAUCAUAAUAUCAGGGAAUCGGUCUUCUUUGUCAAAGCUGUUAAAGGGCCAAAGUUCCAUGACCAAAUGUUUUGAAACUAAGGUUUUUUUCCCCUUUCUUCCUCAAUUUGAUGCCAUUAUUCACUUGAUAAUAAAACCUGACUGGAACUGAUGUAUUAUAGUUUUAAUUUGCCCAUUUCAUCAACUAUUCAUUAAUUUUUCUCAAAGAAACACCAGUGGGUUUGAUUAUAGGUAUUGCCCCUGAUUCUAUGGAGGUGUUUUAUAAUAUUCAGUAUAUGCCCCAUAUCACACCUUUCUCCAAAUCUAAAAAAUUAGGAAUUCUGAAGCGCACCUGGCCAGAAUGGUUUGAAUAAAGGAUUAUAGACAUUUAGCAGCAUCACACAAAGAUCUGACUUCAUCCAAAACAUGAAAAUAUUACAAAGGCAAACUAUAUUUUUUAUCUUUUUUGGUUCAGUUUUUGUACAUUUUUUACACUGACUUGUUUUUGUUUUGUUUGCUCAGGGGAGAGAAAAAAAAAACACAAAAAAAUCUGAGUCAGAUUGUUCAGGAACCUCUUGGCUUUUUUUUUUUUUUUCUUAAGGGGUCAUUGAUUCAACACUUUGUACUGUACCCAGAAGUGGAUAUAUCUUACCUGUGGAAGAAGGAGUUUAAUUACAAUUCUGUUGAAAUGUUGGCUUUCUGUUUGUGACCAACAACGGUUUAUUAUGUGAGUGUUGGUUCUGAAGUGCUUGCCUCUGCUGAGUUUGGUUUUACUGUUUUAUUGUAGUGUAUUUGUGACUGUAUUUAUUUUAAAAUGCCAAACAUCAUUCAUCCAUAGAAAUUCCAAAAUAUAUUCAAGGACCUUUCAUCAUUGAAAAAGGUACAAGAAACAAUCUUCAUUUCAUUUUACAAAAACCAAGUCAAGGGAAUUGUUCUUUUCUGUAUUUUUUGAAAUGUAAUUUUCACAGCUGAAAAGAAAUGAAAAAUGGUAUUAAUCAUGCCCUCUUUGCAUUGAUACUUUUAUAUGUCCAGUUACAAAUCUGUUGGUUAAACCAUAUAUUGUUGGUCCUUGGACCUGAAACAUUGAGAGAGCAUUUCUAGUAUUUAAAUGAUAAAGCGUUUUUGGAAAUAGUCGCUUCAAUUCAAAGAAUUGUAUGUCUUUGUCUUUCUAGAAGAAAAAAAAUUUUUUUUUUUUUUUUUACUGAGUUCUAUCAUCAACAACAGAUUUAAUUUUAUUACCUCAUGUUCUAAUUUAAACAUGUCUUACUCACAUGAGGACACUUUUAAAUAUUCAUAGUUUUUGACAUAUGAUGCUUUGUAUCUUUCUCAUGUCCUUAAUUCUUAGUAACUCAGCUUUAAGAAGUACGUCCUAACCAUAACCUUCCAUAUUCUGGACUAAAUCUUGUGUAGUGCACUACAGUGACAGCAGAUUUGAUAUUUUGAAGAGGAGAUAAUAGCUAUUAUAUUUUACACUUGCUUGAUGGGACAACUCUAAAGACAUUUUUAAACUGUAAGAAUGCACAUGGCUAUUUUGAUAUAUAUUAGAACUUGUGUUUGCUACUUUAGGAGCUUUUGUGGCAGAAUUGUAACCUAAUUUUCUUAUCUUGUAUUUCUGAAUCACAACAAAAAAUAAAUGGGGAACAAGCU